GUCUGCAUCAACAUUAGCCAGGGAACAGUGCCCAGUCUUGUGAUAUCAGAGUUGCUGGAUUUUCCUACUCUGAAUUUCUCCAGCCCGAGGAGGGAGCACCCCUGAGAUCCCAGAGACUGAGGCCCUCCCUCUUCCUUCUUCUGCAGGUGCGAAAACUGAAUGACAGAAGCGGCCAGCGCCCCCAGUCUGAGACGGGGGCCUCAAGACUUCGCUGCGUAGGAUACACGCAGACAGGGACAGGAGCCGGACGGCCCCGAGGCGGUGAGUGUCCUCCAGCCCCGAGCGAACGGAGAAACGGCCCGAACCCUCCAGGUUCCCACCGCCAGCAAUGCCAGAUUAUGACCACCAGGUGGCGCGGCGGCCCCAUCGCAGAGAGGAGGAGGCGGAGUCUCGGGAAGGAGGGAAGACGGGGCUGA
rnacentral:lncRNA from 1 species